GAUCUUACAUGGGAGGGGAGAUACCAUGAUCACGAAGGUGGUUUUCCCAAGGCGAGGCUUAACCAUUGCACUCAGGAUGUGCUGACCCCUGUGAUUUCCCCAAAUAUGGGAAACUCAACUAAUACAUUUAAUAAACAAUCCUGAUUUGUAGUGUUUGUA